GACGAACGCUGGCGGCGUGCUUAACACAUGCAAGUCGAACGGAAAGGCCCUGCUUUUGUGGGGUGCUCGAGUGGCGAACGGGUGAGUAACACGUGAGUAACCUGCUCUUGACUUUGGGAUAACUUCAGGAAACUGGGGCUAAUACCGGAUAGGAGCUCCUGCUGCAUGGUGGGGGUUGGAAAGUUUCGGCGGUUGGGGAUGGACUCGCGGCUUAUCAGCUUGUUGGUGGGGUAGUGGCUUACCAAGGCUUUGACGGGUAGCCGGCCUUAGAGGGUGACCGGCCACAUUGGGACUGAGAGACGGCCCAGACGCCUACGGGAGACAGCAGUGGGGAAUAUUGCACAAUGGGCGGAAGCCUGAUGCAGCAACGCCGCGUGCGGGAUGACGGCCUGCGGGUAGUAAACCGCUUUCGCCUGUGACGAAGCGUGAGUGACGGUAAUGAGUAAAGAAGCACCGGCUAACUACGUG
rnacentral:rRNA from 1 species